rnacentral:rRNA from 1 species
GACGAACUGUCCUAACGUUGUUCGGAAUCACUGGGCUUAAAGGGCGCGUAGGCGGUCGAUCAAGUCAGGGGUGAAAUCCUGCAGCUUAACUGUAGAAGUGCCUUUGAUACUGGUCGUCUCGAGGGAGGUAGGGGUGUGUGGAACUUCCAGUGGAGCGGUGAAAUUCGUAGAUAUUCGGAAGAACACCAGUGGCGAAGGCGACACACUGGCCCGUUACUGACGCUGAGGCGCGAAAGCGUGGGGAGCAACAGG